UAAAUUGCUGUGGUAUUUUGACUAUACAAAGGUAUUGAAAUAAGACUUUAAUUGAGUGCUAAGAGAAUGGAUUUUCAAAAAAAUGCUUUCUUCAAUUUAAAAAUUGAAGUUAUUUUUUUUUGUGAAGAAACAAAAAUAAAAAUUAAAGACAAGAAGACCCUAAGAAUUUUUAUAAAUUUAUUGUAUAAAUGUAUAAUAUAUUUAUUUAAUUGGGGCGAUUAAAAAAUAUUUUAAACUUUUUUUAAAAGAAAAAGAUCCAUUAGUAAUGAUUUUUUGAAAAAAAUACUCUAGGGAUAACAGCGUAAUAAUUUUAGAUAGAUCUUAUAGAAAAAAUAGUUUGCGACCUCGAUGUUGGAUUAGGAUUCUUAUUUAAUGAAGAAGUUAAAAAAAGAAGUUUGUUCAACUUUUAAAUUCCUACUUGA
rnacentral:rRNA from 1 species